rnacentral:rRNA from 1 species
AUACGAAGGGGGCUAGCGUUGUUCGGAAUCACUGGGCGUAAAGCGCGCGUAGGUGGAUCAAUUAGUUGAGGGUGUAAUCCCGGGGCUCAACCUCGGAACUGCCUUCAAUACUGUUGAUCUUGAGACCGAGAGAGGUGAGUGGAAUUCCUAGUGUAGAGGUGAAAUUCGUAGAUAUUAGGAAGAACACCAGUGGCGAAGGCGGCUCACUGGCUCGGUACUGACGCUGAGGUGCGAAAGCGUGGGGAGCAAACAGGAUUAGAAACCCUAGUAGUCC